rnacentral:rRNA from 1 species
CCUACGGGAGGCUGCAGUGAGGAAUAUUGGUCAAUGGGCGCAAGCCUGAACCAGCCAAGUCGCGUGCAGGAUGACGGUCCUAUGGGUUGUAAACUUCUUUUAUACGGGAGUAACACGCCCCACGCGUAGCGUUCCGAAUGUACCCGAAGAAAAAGCAUCGGCUAACUCCGUGCCAGCAGCCGCGGUAAUACGGAGGAUGCGAGCGUUAUCCGGAUUUAUUGGGUUUAAAGGGUGCGAAGGCGGAAGAUCAAGUGAGCGGUAAAAUUGAGAGGCUCAACCUCGUCGCGCCGUUGGAACUGGUUUGCUUGAGUGAGCGAGAAGUAUGCGGAAUGCGUGGUGUAGCGGUGAAAUGCAUAGAUAUGACGCAGAACUCCGAUUGCGAAGGCAGCAUACCGGCGCUCAACUGACGCUGAUGCACGAAAGUGUGGGUAUCGAACAGGAUUAGAUACCCGAGUAGUC